AGCGAACGCUGGCGGCAGGCCUAACACAUGCAAGUCGAACGAACCCUUCGGGGUUAGUGGCGGACGGGUGAGUAACACGUGGGAACGCGCCUUUAGGUUCGGAAUAACUCAGGGAAACUUGUGCUAAUACCGAAUGUGCCCUUCGGGGGAAAGAUUUAUCGCCUUUAGAGCGGCCCGCGUCUGAUUAGCUAGUUGGUGAGGUAAUGGCUCACCAAGGCUACGAUCAGUAGCUGGUCUGAGAGGACGACCAGCCACAUUGGGGCUGAGACACGGCCCAAACUCCUACGGGAGGCAGCAGUGGGGAAUCUUGCGCAAUGGGCGAAAGCCUGACGCAGCCAUGCCGCGUGGAUGAUGAAGGUCUUAGGAUUAUAAAAUCCUUUCACCGGUGAAGAUAAUGACUGUAGCCGGAGAAGAAGCCCCGGCUAACUUCGUGCCAGCCGCCGCAGUAACAC
rnacentral:rRNA from 1 species